UCGCCCCAUAGUCUGGGAUACCACUUGGAAACAGGUGCUAAUACCGGAUAAGAAAGCGGAUCGCAUGGUCAGCUUUAAAAGGCGGCGUAAGCUGUCGCUAUGGGAUGGCCCCGCGGUGCAUUAGCUAGUUGGUAAGGUAAAGGCUUACCAAGGCGAUGAUGCAUAGCCGAGUUGAGAGACUGAUCGGCCACAUUGGGACUGAGACACGGCCCAAACUCCUACGGGAGGCAGGGAGGCAGCAGGC
rnacentral:rRNA from 1 species